GAUUUAUUGCACAAUGGGCNCAAGNCNUGAUGCAGCGACGCCCGCGUGGGGGAUGAAGGCCUUCGGGUUGUAAACCCCUUUCAGUAGGGAAGAAGCGAAAGUGACGGUACCUACAGAAGAAGCGCCGGCUAGCUACGUGCCAGCAGCCGCGGUAAUACGUAGGGCGCAAGCGUUGUCCGGAAUUAUUGGGCGUAAAGAGCUCGUAGGCGGUCUGUCGCGUCUGCUGUGAAAACCCGAGGCUCAACCUCGGNCCUGCAGUGGGUACGGCCAGACUAGAGUGUGGUAGGGGAGACUGGAAUUCCUGGUGUAGCGGUGGANUGCNCAGAUNUCAGGAGGAACACCAAUGGCGAAGGCNGNUCUCUGGNCCACAACUGACGCUGAGGAGCNAANGCGUGGGGGAGCAAACAGNAUUAGAUNCCNUGGUAGUCNANGGNCNAU
rnacentral:rRNA from 1 species